rnacentral:rRNA from 1 species
AACGAACGCUGGCGGCAGGCCUAACACAUGCAAGUCGAGCGAGACCUUCGGGUCUAGCGGCGGACGGGUUAGUAACGCGUGGGAACGUGCCCUUCUCUGCGGAAUAGCCACUGGAAACGGUGAGUAAUACCGCAUACGCCCUUCGGGGAAAGGAUUUAUCGGAGAAGGAUCGGCCCGCGUUAGAUUAGAUAGUUGGUGGGUAACGGCCUACCAAGUCUACGAUCUAUAGCUGGUUUUAGUAGGAUGAUCAGCAACACUGGGACUGAGACACGGCCCAGACUCCUACGGGAGGCAGCAGUGGGGAAUCUUAGACAAUGGGCGCAAGCCUGAUCUAGCCAUGCCGCGUGUGUGAUGAAGGUCUUAGGAUCGUAAAGCACUUUCGCCAGGGAUGAUAAUGACAGUACCUGGUAAAGAAACCCCGGCUAACUCCGUG